AGCGAACGCUGGCGGCAUGCUUAACACAUGCAAGUCGCACGGUCAGCAAUGGCAGUGGCGGACGGGUGAGUAACACGUAGGAAUCUAUCCUUGGGUGGGGGGACGAACCACGGGGAAACUGUGGCUAAUACCGCAUGAUGACUGAGGUCUAAAGGCGCAAGUCGCCUGAGGAGGAGCCUGCGUCUGAUUUAGCUUGUUGGUGGGGUAAAGGCCUACCAAGGCGACGAUCAGUAGCUGGUCUGAGAGGAUGAUCAGCCACAUUGGGACUGAGACACGGCCCAAACUCCUACGGGAGGCAGCAGUGGGGAAUAUUGGACAAUGGGCGAAAGCCUGAUCCAGCAAUGCCGCGUGGGUGAGGACGGCCUUCGGGUUGUAAAGCUCUGUCCUCGGGGACGAAAAAAUGACGGUACCCGAGGAGGAAGCCCCGGCUAACUACGUG
rnacentral:rRNA from 1 species